AGCAGCCGCCACGGUAAUACGUAGGGUGCAAGCGUUAAUCGGAAUUACUGGGCGUAAAGCGUGCGCAGGCGGUUCUAUAAGACAGAUGUGAAAUCCCCGGGCUCAACCUGGGAACUGCAUUUGUGACUGUAGAGCUGGAGUACGGCAGAGGGGGAUGGAAUUCCGCGUGUAGCAGUGAAAUGCGUAGAUAUGCGGAGGAACACCGAUGGCGAAGGCAAUCCCCUGGGCCUGUACUGACGUUCAUGCACGAAAGCGUGGGGAGCAAACAGGAUUAGAUACCCCGGUAGUCCCUGUCUCUUAUAC
rnacentral:rRNA from 1 species